CGAGAGCCCGGACUGGGGCUCCCGGACGAGGGGCGCCGUACCCGGAACGCGACAAGACGGCCCAGG
rnacentral:ncRNA from 1 species